CCCAUUUCCGGCAGCUAAGGGACGUAUUGUCGCCAGAAUGAAAGUCCGGAUACGCAGAGAGGCACCGCGGGCGUUAUCGGUGUCUCCCCAGGCGGUGUGGGUCAAGGUUUAGUUGGUCGUGACGUCACACUCCCCACCUUUUCGCUUGGUACGGCCGCCGGCUGGUCCGUGCUCAGGCGUGCGUUGCUGCGAACAUCAUGUCCUCCUUACUGGGCUUGUCCUCCGCUCAGGGCUUUAUUCUCUGCCGGCAUCCAUGUGCGGCUCAGCCCCGGCCCGGCACG